GCUGAGACUCAGCUGCUGACUCGUUGGUUCGAGAGCUCAUCAUUAAAAUGUAGCAACAUGCAUGGUGUGCUUCUGAUCCAACGAUGCGGGAGCUGUGUUCAGUUA
rfam:Lupinus angustifolius cultivar Tanjil chromosome LG20, whole genome shotgun sequence.